rnacentral:rRNA from 1 species
UACGUAGGGUCCGAGCGUUGUCCGGAGUUACUGGGCGUAAAGCGCGCGCAGGCGGCGGUGUUGGCCCGGCGUGAAAGCCCCCGGCUCAACCGGGGAGAGUCGUCGGGGACCGCACCGCUUGAGGGCGGUAGGGGCUGGUGGAAUGCCUGGUGUAGUGGUGAAAUGCGUAGAGAUCAGGCAGAACACCUGGGGCGAAGGCGGCCAGCUGGGCCGUCCCUGACGCUGAGGCGCGAAGGCCAGGGGAGCAAAGCGGG